CCCUCGCGCUGCUACUGUCAUAGCGCGUGCAGACCGAAGAGCGCUUCGAAUGGGACGGCUGUGGUGACGAUUAAAAUAAUAAAAAAUAUAUACAUAACACAGACCGAAACUAAACAUUUAUUCAGGAACAGAAUAUAUUCUGACUGCUCUAAACUGCCAAACAUAAUUCAAACCACGUAGACAGACAGUAUUACGCAAAGCGAGAAUCGGGAAGCCGAGCAGCCAUUCGCAACUGACAGGCAUCACUGAGCAGCAUCACCUUGGUCAACUAGUUUAUCGCGGAUACACUCAAGCGGCUGGGACAUGUCGGACUCUGCGGCAGAUGCCAAGUUGGAAGUGAAGCAGGCCAGCAAAGAAGUGAAAGAGAGCGAGAAUGUCGCCGAGAAAUACUCGGCGAUGACCGUGAGCAAGAACAGCGACGCGACCGUGGGUGACCUGUCCUCCGCCUUCGUGCCGGUCACGACGCACAAAGCCGUCAAGAAGCAGAUCCAGUUUGUAACUUCCGAGGAUAAGCAGGAAUUCAGCAAGUUUCCCACCAAGGCUGGACGACGCUCCCUUUCCCGAUCGAUCUCUCAGUCAUCAACAGACAGCUACAGCUCAGCGGCCUCCUACACGGACAGCUCAGACGAUGAAACGUCACCGCGGGACAAAACGCAGGUCAACUCCAAGGGCGGCGGUGACUUCUGCGUGAAGAACAUCAAGCAGGCAGAGUUCGGCAGGCGUGAGAUCGAGAUCGCAGAGCAAGACAUGUCUGCCCUGAUCUCCCUCAGGAAGAGAGCGCAGGGGGAGAAGCCACUGGCCGGGGCUAAAAUUGUGGGCUGCACCCACAUCACUGCCCAGACGGCGGUCUUGAUUGAGACACUGGUAGCUCUGGGAGCUCAGUGCCGCUGGACUGCCUGCAACAUCUACUCCACACAGAAUGAGGUGGCAGCUGCCCUGUCUGAGGCAGGCGUGGCUGUCUUCGCGUGGAAGGGGGAGUCCGAAGCAGACUUCUGGUGGUGUAUCGACCGCUGCGUGGGCACAGAAGACUGGCAGCCCAAUAUGAUCCUGGAUGACGGGGGGGACCUCACCCACUGGGUGUACAAGAAAUACCCAAAUGUCUUCAGGAAGAUCCGAGGCAUUGUGGAGGAGAGUGUCACCGGCGUUCACAGGUUGUACCAGUUGUCCAAGGCUGGGAAGCUGUGCGUUCCAGCCAUGAACGUGAACGAUUCGGUGACCAAGCAGAAGUUCGACAACCUUUACUGCUGCAGGGAGUCUAUUCUGGAUGGAUUAAAAAGAACCACUGAUGUGAUGUUUGGUGGAAAGCAGGUGGUAGUUUGCGGUUAUGGAGAGGUGGGGAAGGGCUGCUGUACGGCUCUGAAGGCCUUGGGCGCCAUAGUCUGUAUCACAGAGAUCGACCCGAUAUGUGCCCUGCAGGCCUGCAUGGAUGGUUACCGAGUUGUCAAGCUGAACGAGAUCAUUCGUCUGGUGGACAUGAUCAUUACUUGCACAGGGAACAAAAAUGUGGUGACCAGGGACCAACUUGAUCGCAUGAAGAACGGUUGUAUUGUGUGCAACAUGGGCCACUCCAACACAGAGAUCGAUGUGGCCAGCCUGAGGACUCCAGAGCUCACCUGGGAGAGGGUUCGAUCCCAGGUAGACCACGUCAUCUGGCCUGAUGGCAAGAGGGUGGUCCUGCUGGCAGAGGGCCGGCUUCUGAACUUAAGCUGCUCUACGGUUCCCACAUUUGUUCUGUCGAUCACCGCGACAACGCAGGCAUUGGCCCUGAUUGAGCUGUACAAUGCACCAGAAGGCCGUUAUAAACAGGAUGUCUACCUGCUGCCCAAGAAAAUGGGUAAGAGCUGACAGCUGCAGCUCAGUGCUAGGAGAGCCGGGGUUCUCUCUUGGCAUCAGGUCUGCUGGAGAGCCAAGGUUCUAUCUUGGCGUCAGACCUAGGAGAGCUGGGGUUCUCUCUUGGCGUCAGGCCUGCUGGAGAGCCGAGGUUCUCUCUUGGCGUCAGGUCUUCUAGGAGAGCUGGGGUUCUCUCUUGGCGUCAGGCCUUCAACUUCCACACAAUUUAAAAAUCAAAAGAAAAAAAAGCUUAGUUUAAGUGUUAUAUGAAGUUUUGUCAUUCAGACAUGUCAGUGUCAAACACAUUGUCUUUGGUUUACCAUUGUUCCUAAUUUUGUUGGUGCCAGUAGCUGGAGAGACUCGCAGUCACUCAUCCCUGGAUGUUAAGCAGACUUUAAUAAUACAGAUUCUGAGCCGAGGCUCUGGGAAGAAAACAGAGACCAGGCGAGGAGCUACAGUAGUGGGGAAAUGUAAAACACAAACAGAAUAUACCAUCAUUCAGUGGGCUGGAUGCGGCCCGUAGGCCUUGAGUGCCUUGAGCGUGGCAUUUGCAGAGUAGCUGAUGAGUUAGUGCCACCUAGUGGUGCUGUUCUAAUGUUGUGUUCCAGCUAUACUGAAGGAGUCUGUCUGUUUUAGAUGAAUAUGUUGCCAGCUUACACCUGCCCACCUUCGACGCCCACCUAACUGAACUUUCCGACGAGCAGGCCAAGUACUUGGGACUCAAUAAGAAUGGACCCUUUAAGCCCAACUACUACAGAUAUUAAUGUGCUUGGAUUCCACCCUCAUGAAAACAAAGCGCGGAACCUCUGGAAGAAGAGCACAUGUUGUCAUAAUAGGAGAGAAGGCUACUAUCAUCACAAUGAUUGUUGCGCUGUUUCACUUUCGCUUUUUUGUAGAAUGCAGCAAAGCACCUGCCAUUAAUCCAGGGUACUAAAAACAAACUACUGUACAUGCCCCAAGAUACACAGCUGUGUAAAUAUAUCUGUAGAAUUACUAUGGGGGAUUCAAGCAUCACACAUACACAAAGAAAGUAAUCAACAAUUAUCUCUUUUUUAACAAUUUCACAUUUUUUAUCCCAGUUAAUAUUUCUUUAAAUAUUUUAAAUGUAUUGUAAGAUGCAGUUUAAUAUGAGCGUGAAAUGGUGUCAAAUGAGGAUCUAGAGUUGCAGGGAGGAAUUGAUUGGGCUAACCCUUUAUUGUGUAUUCCUGUCAGUGCGGAUUUUGUUCAAACCAUAUUUCUGGCGUGCCUUUUUUGCCUUUUUGUCCUUGUACUGCAUUUUAAGCCACUGAAUGAAAGCCAUUGAGAAUGAGCCUCAUUAUGAUGGCCAGCUGUCUUCUGUCCUUAUCUGCCAUGGACCAAUUUUUAAACCGUGUACUAAGAAGAUCUCAUUGUAAGUCAUUUGCCAGUAAAGGUUUGCAAAUGGCAGACUUUUCUCAAAAACAAGGACGGCCAUGUUGCCUCUCUCAUUUAUCAUUGGUGCGUUGUAGAUUCCCAGCACCAAACUGCCAUUCCUUGACUGAGGGAAGGAGUAAUUAGUGAAGGAAUCUUCACUACAAACUGCCUUCUGAUGGAUGUCUUCUAAGGCAGUGUUUCCCAACCCAGUCCUCGAAAAACCCCGGACAGUCCAUGUUUUUGCUCCCUCCCAGCACUCAGCCAAUCAGUGACACCGAAUACCUGAUACAGGUGCUGGGAGCUGAGAAGGAGCAAAAACGUGGACUGGCCGGGGUUCCCCGAGGACUGGGUUGUGAAACACUGUUCUAAGGGCAGCCCAGAUGAUUGUCAGUACAUUUGCAAAUCGUGCUUUUCAUUUCCAGAUGUUAUUUUUAUGAUCAUUUAAACACAGUUAGUGCUUCUCCAUUUAGUUCUUACUGACUCAUAUAGUUUCCUACUAUAUCUUUCAAACAAGUAAAGCAAUCUGAUUGUCUGUCAGUCUACAAAAAUGUGACACAUUCAGAGAGCACAUGGAUGACACAUUUUUACAUGUAUUUUGUUCUUAAGAAUAUAAAUAUAUCACUGCAGUAUUUUAACAUUUUGUUUGCACAUCAAGUUCAUGGAAUUUGCAGGAAGUAGAACUUUUAGCUGGUAUCCAUAUCAUGUCUAUGAAACCAUUAGAUGAUACUACGGAAGAAUUCUUCAUCCAGGGUGACAUCAGGCUUAAUAUUUGCUUGUUGAUUUGAAACGUGAUACUGACUGAUUAGUAUAUUAAUUGCUAGCUGUAAUACUGGACCCCACACUUUAAAAAAUCAUAGGAAAUCCAUGAUCUGUAUGCACUGACAUCAGUGAACUUAAGUAAGUAAAUAUCAGCAUAUUACUAUAAGCAAAAAAAUAACAUUUAAAACUAUCAAAACAUAUUUUAUGUAUAUGUUUCUCAAAAUGCAUCCCUUUUGUCCCCAAGAAUUAUUAGAGUAUAAAGCAGGCAGUUUCAUUCAUUUCAUUAGUCAAUAUUACAGUUUUUUUUCUUGCUGAAGAAGAACUUUUCCCUAAUUUUGCAAUACAAUCCAUAGCACUUGCAUUGUAAUUCAGUAACUGUAAAAAGCUGAUGGCUUCUUGUUUGAAAAAAAUAGACUUUUGAUUUUUGUAUUUUAUAUUUAGUUUUAACUAUCUGAAAAUGAAAAAUUCCACCAAAAUUCCUACUAAGGAACAUGAGGUGACUAAUCCUCACACGCCAGGUCUGCCUCGGGAGCUGCUGGGGGAUUUACAGCCUGGGAACGGCAUGCCCCCUCUGAGGGAUUCCUGCUAUUGUGCUUCUCAAAAAAGUAUGCGAUUUGGAUUGGUUCCAUCCAAAAAUGGUAAAGCUAUAUAACAGGGUAGACAGCCAUAAAAACUGCAAUUUGUUUUAGACAAUUAAUAAUUAAAAUGUAACUUUAUUUUGACAAGUUAACGUGCAGUUAAGAGAGAAGUGCCAGAGACUGCAGAAAUGGAAGAAGGACCCUUUUGUGAAAACCAGUUAUCACUGUGAUGUAAAGCACUGGGCAGCCUUCUGCCUUUGCUCCAUUUUUUAUCUUAAAUUUGGAAUGCAAAUUGAUAGGAUAUACUUUGUGUACCAAUAGCUUAGAUGAGUUUUGUUCCCUCCAAAAUAUCAUUUUAAAUGACUAUUACAUAUUAGUCAUUUCAAAGCUUUGAAGAAAGACAAAGAUUUGCCUAAUAAAUACUAAGUGUGACCCGGA